UGCUGUCAAAUGAUACCUUCAAGGGUCCCGUGGAGUGAAAGUUAGAGUCCAGUUCGGGCACUGCUGCUCCCGCCCCGGCGUCCAGCACAGGCAAGCCGCUUUCUGUCUCUGAGAGGACACCAGCACACCUUUCCCUUUCUCGAGAAGGGAUAGUGUUUCAAAGCUAUAUGCACCUCAGCCACCACUGGGUGACAAGCCCCCGCAGCAGUGAGAACACGACUGCCCCGAUGCAUGUGUGCGUGAGAGCGUGAGAGACCUGUCUUUCCCUCCCCUGUAGCGCUCAUUCCAGCAGAUUCUGCUGGCAAAAGAUGUGGUUCACCCUGCCAACAGCAACCACCCGUAUCCAUCCCAUGCUUCUAUCCUCCUCUCUCUUUCCCCCUUGGCUGCCUGAUGAGGGAGAGAGGAAGAGCCCUACAGCUCCAUUCAUUUUUCAUCUGCAUGGGUUUUAUCUGUGAUUAGAGUGUGUCUGAGUGAAUCUCGCUGUACCGCAUGUCCAAAUAGGUGCCAGCAUGUAUGUUGGCUUGCAAAAGUAUUGACACCCUUUGAAGAUUUUUUAUUUUUUUUAUUUAAUUUUGUAUUGCUACAACUACAAACAUCAAUGUUUAGAAUUGUGUGUGUGCCUCUUCCAGUUUUGGAUUGAAGGGAGAGUGAAUAUCAAUCUUGCCACAGAUUCUCGGUUGACUUUAGUAAGGCGUGAGACUAAAUUGCUCCAAUUUAGUCUUACACCUGAAAUCACUUGAAAUCCAUAUCAUGUGGAUUUCAAGUGAUAUGAAACACUUUUUAUUGUUGCUCAGGAUGUAUGUUUAGAGUCGAAUGUGAACCUCUGCCCCACUCACUUAUGAGCCUACAUCUAUGCAUCUAGCUUCUCAUCGUUUCUGGUUUCUCUGCUGAAGAAAAGCACCCUUACAUGAAUAAUCAUGCGUUUCAUUGUAGCGAUGGCAUGGUUUCAGUUCUUUUCUUGUACAUGUUUUUUUUUUUUCAUGUAGUCCAAAAAGUUCAAAUUUGUUCCCCUUCAAACAGAGCAUCAUUUGGCAAACAGAAAACUGAACUUCAUUUUGUUUUCUUAGCAUGGGGCCUCUUGGUUGCUUUUCCAAUCAAUGCUUAGUAAUCAAUUAAACAUUUCCCAAUAUGUAUAGUCUUAGUUUUGUACUUGUUUUUUUCACUUUGCAGAUAAUGGAUUGGAUAAUCCUUUUUGUAAACUUGUGCAUUUUCUUUUACCCCACUUUAAAAUUCUCUUCAACUUUCUCAUUGACCUGUCUGAUGUUUUCCUCCAAAGUCUACCCAGAACACCUCAAUCAAAUUACACACAAGUGGGCUCUGUAUUGUUGUUAAGGAGACAGAUAAUUGUGAAGGCAAUGUGUUGCAUAUAGGACUUUAUAUCCACAUUUUUAUUUUAGAGAGUUCAAAAACAAUGUGUAAUUUAUAUUGACCUUUUACCACUAUGUACUACUUUGUGUUGGUAUCUCUCAUUAAACCUAAAUAAAACACAUUAAGGUUUGUGGAUGUAUGAAUACUUUGAAUAGUAUUAUUGCUUUGUGAUUG